CCAGGACGAUUGGGACAUUCCUAACCGUGGACCAACUGUGUCCACAUUGUCAGUUCACCCGGCAUUGGAAGAGUCAGACUGUUCUGGGGAGUACUCCAGCUGGGAACAUCGAACUUUCUGCAGCGGUGUACAUCAGUGGAGCAUCUUUCUUCAAACUUCAAAAGAUCUUCAGAGCUAUGCAACUGCAGGUGUUCCAAUAUGACACCUUUCGUCGACAUGCCCGUAUGUUCAUUGAGCCAGCGAUUGUACACCAGUGGACCUCUUCACAGAAUGACAUCCUACAACGUCUCAGCCCGAAGAUUGUAACAAUGUUUUCCAAGGGCACUCCGCAAAGUUUGGAAGCGACACCAUGAUGGACCUCAGAACCAACAGAGUUAUUGAUAUUCAAUUGGUUCAGAGCAACGAGGUUGGUAGAAGCUACCACAUGGAAAAAGAGGGGCUGCAGAGGAGCCUGACCUUGUUAAAUGAAAGGGGUGUGACUCUGGACUGUAUUCUUACUGACCGUCAUCCACAAAUCCAGAAAUUCCUGAGGGAAAGCAACAUCACCCAAUUCUUUGACUUUUGGCA